rnacentral:rRNA from 1 species
GACGUAGGAUGCAAGCGUUGUCCGGAUUUAUUGGGCGUAAAGAGUUCGUAGGUGGUUUGUUAAGUUUGGUGUUAAAGAUUGGGGCUCAACCCUGAAACUGCACUGAAUACUGGCAGACUCGAGUGUGGUAGAGGCUAGUGGAAUUUCCGGUGUAGCGGUGAAAUGCGUAGAGAUCGGAAGGAACACCAGUGGCGAAGGCGACUGCCUGGACCAAUACUGACGCUGAGGUGCGAAAGCGUGGGGAGCAAACAGGAUUAGAUACCCCGGUAGU